AUACGUAGGGUGCAAGCGUUAAUCGGAAUUACUGGGCGUAAAGCGUGCGCAGGCGGUUUUGUAAGACAGUGGUGAAAUCCCCGGGCUCAACCUGGGAACUGCCAUUGUGACUGCAAGGCUGGAGUGCGGCAGAGGGGGAUGGAAUUCCGCGUGUAGCAGUGAAAUGCGUAGAUAUGCGGAGGAACACCGAGGGCGAAGGCAAUCCCCUGGGCCCGCACUGACGCUCAUGCACGAAAGCGUGGGGAGCAAACAGGAUUAGAUACCCGGGUAGUCCGCGCCCUAAACGAUGUCAACUGGUUGUUGGGGAUUUAUUUUCUCAGUAACGAAGCUAACGCGUGAAGUUGACCGCCUGGGGAGUACGGCCGCAAGGUUAAAACUCAAAGGAAUUGACGGGG
rnacentral:rRNA from 1 species